UUUCUGGUUUUUGUUAACCGGAGUUUAUUACAAUAUUUCUCAACUGAAACGGUCAACUUUGUCAACCCUACAUUUCAUGAUUUUCCAUGAGGACCAAAAAUAAAAUAAAAAAAUGUUGGAAUGUCCAAAAACAAGAAAGGCAAAUCACGAGGGACGUAUACUGUAAUUAUUUACAUCAACCAAAUUUAUAUAUCUGUAGAAUCAAAGAAUCA
rnacentral:lncRNA from 1 species